UACGGAGGGGGCUAGCGUUGUUCGGAAUUACUGGGCGUAAAGCGCACGUAGGCGGCCUUGUAAGUUAGAGGUGAAAGCCCAGGGCUCAACCCUGGAAUUGCCUUUAAGACUGCAUCGCUUGAACACGGGAGAGGUGAGUGGAAUUCCGAGUGUAGAGGUGAAAUUCGUAGAUAUUCGGAAGAACACCAGUAGCGAAGGCGGCUCACUGGACCGUUGUUGACGCUGAGGUGCGAAAGCGUGGGGAGCAAACAGG
rnacentral:rRNA from 1 species